rnacentral:lncRNA from 1 species
CGACACAUCCUGUCGGUCGGCAGGAGUCAUAAAUUCCAUCGGCAGUAUGAAAACCAUGCCGAUAUCGGCUGCCGAUUCAUCACCCGCCGAUUCGUCGCCCCCUCUAUCAUUUCUUUUGGGGCGCCAUACCCGAGGCCUGCCUUCCUUCUUGUCCGUCGUGCUCUGUUGUUCCUCUUCCUGCUGUUCCCACUGGCGGAGACGUUGGAUCCUUCGUUUUUGAGAUUUGGUCAAUCCGUCGGGACACCACCUGGGGUUUAUUGGUUUGGUUCCUGACCUGGCGCGUUCCCACUCCGGCUCGCGUCCUAAAGGGUUUUCGUCUGUCACCCGAGCGUCGGCCAUCUCUUCAAGCCGACUGUGAACGUUGGCCCUGUUUUCUGGCCGGUCAUGUCGAUCAAACCUGCCCCCCGGUCUGUCACGGCGUCUGUCUUCUGACCGGUCAUAUCGGUCACUUCUGCCCCCCAGCCGAUCACGCACGGGAGGGCGCCGGUCAUCUUGGUCGCGCCAGUUCCUGCUGAUCGGUUCUGGUCUUCCGUCUCUGGAGCGAGACCUGUUGAACGGCCGAUUGCCACGAUACGGGCCGUUGCAUUCCGGGCAAUUAUCGGCCGAAGGUAGCCUGAGGUUGCUUUCCCAACAGUGGAUGAAGAACGGGCACCUC